UACAGAGGUCUCAAGCGUUGUUCGGAUUCAUUGGGCGUAAAGGGUGCGUAGGUGGCGUCGUAAGUCAGGUGUGAAAUCUCGGGGCUCAACCCCGAAACUGCACUUGAUACUGCGAUGCUCGAGUACUGGAGAGGAGAUUGGAAUUUACGGUGUAGCAGUGAAAUGCGUAGAUAUCGUAAGGAAGACCAGUGGCGAAGGCGAAUCUCUGGACAGUUACUGACACUGAGGCACGAAGGCCAGGGGAGCAAAACGGG
rnacentral:rRNA from 1 species